ACAGCAGCAGCCGCGGUAAUACGUAGGGUGCGAGCGUUAAUCGGAACUACUGGGCGUAAAGCGUGCGCAGGCGGUUUUGUAGGACAGGCGUGAAAUCCCCGGGCUCAACCUGGGAAUGGCGCUUGUGACUGCAAAGCUAGAGUGCGGCAGAGGGGGAUGGAAUUCCGCGUGUAGCAGUGAAAUGCGUAGAUAUGCGGAGGAACACCGAUGGCGAAGGCAAUCCCCUGGGCCUGCACUGACGCUCAUGCACGAAAGCGUGGGGAGCAAACAGGAUUAGAUACCCCGGUAGUCCCUGUCUCUUAUAC
rnacentral:rRNA from 1 species